UUCACUCUCUGAAUCCAUCUGC
rnacentral:siRNA from 1 species